CCUACGGGCGACAGCAGUGAGGAAUAUUGGUCAAUGGGCGCGAGCCUGAACCAGCCAAGUAGCGUGCAGGAUGCCUGCCCUACGGGUUGUCAACUUCUUUUAUAAAGGCAUAAAGUGAGGCCCGUGUGCCUUUUUGUAUGUACUUUAUGAAUACGGAUCGGCUAACUCCGUGCCAGCAGCCGCGGUAAUACGGAGGAUCCGAGCGUUAUCCGGAUUUCUUGGGUUUAAAGGGAGCGUAGAUGGGUUGUUAAGUCAGUUGUGAAAGUUUGCGGCUCAAACGUAAAAUUGCAAUUGAUACUGGCAGCCUAGAGGACAGUUGAGGUAGGCGGAAUGCGUGGUGUAGCGGUGAAAUGCUUAGAUAUCACGAAGAACUCCGAUUGCGAAGGCAGCUUACCAAGCUGCCACUGACAUUGAGGCUCGAAAGUGUGGGUAUCAAACAGGAUUAGAUACCCGGGUAGUC
rnacentral:rRNA from 1 species